AGCGAACGCUGGCGGCAGGCUUAACACAUGCAAGUCGAGCGGACGUAGCAAUACGUUAGCGGCAGACGGGUGAGUAACACGUGGGAACGUGCCCUUUGGUUCGGGAUAACCCAGGGAAACCUGGGCUAAUACCGGAUAAGCCCUUACGGGGAAAGAUUUAUCGCCAAAGGAUCGGCCCGCGUCUGAUUAGCUAGUUGGUGGGGUAAUGGCCCACCAAGGCUACGAUCAGUAGCUGGUCUGAGAGGAUGAUCAGCCACACUGGGACUGAGAUACGGCCCAGACUCCUACGGGAGGCAGCAGUGGGGAAUAUUGGACAAUGGGCGAAAGCCUGAUCCAGCCAUGCCGCGUGAGUGAUGAAGGCCUUAGGGUUGUAAAGCUCUUUCGGCGGGGAAGAUAAUGACGGUACCCGCAUAAGAAGCCCCGGCUAACUUCGUGCCAGCAGCCGCAGUAAC
rnacentral:rRNA from 1 species